GCGCCCUUAGCUCAGUUGGAUAGAGCAACAGCCUUCUAAGCUGUGGGUCGGUGGUUCGAGUCCACCAGGGCGCGCCA
rnacentral:tRNA from 2 species